rnacentral:rRNA from 1 species
UGCAGUCGAGCGAAUUGAUGAAGAGGCUUGCUUCUUCUGAUGUGAGCGGCGCCCGUGAGAGUAACACGUGGGCAACCUACCUUAUAGUGUGGGCCCUCUGGGGGAAACGGGGUAUAAUACCAAAUAAUCUAUUUCCUCUGAUGAGGAAAUAGUGAGAGAGGGUUUCGGGUGUCUCUAUAAUAUGGGCCCGCGGCGUAUUAUAUAGGUGGAGAGGUAGCGGCUCACCGGGGAGAAUAUGCAUACCAGAUGUGAGAGGGAGAUCGGACACUGUGAGAGAGACACACGGCACACACUCAUAGGGGAGGCAGCAGUAGGGAAUCUUCCACAGUGGGAGAAAGUGUGAUGGAACAACGCCGCGUGAGUGAAGAAGGAUUUCGGCUCAAAAAACUGUGGUGAAAGGAAAGAACAUGUACAGUAAUAAGUGUGUGUACCUUGACGGUACCUUAUUAAAAAGCCACGGAUAACUACGUGCCAACACCCGGGAAAAUACAUAGGUGGAAAGCUUUGUCCGAAAUUAUUGGGCGAAAAGCGCGCGCAGGUGGUUUCUUAAGUCUGAUGUGAAAGCCCAGGGCUCACCCGUGGAGGGUCUUUGGAAACUGGGAGACUUGAGUGCAAAAGAGGAUAGUGGAAUUCCAAGUGUAGCGGUGAAAUGCGUAGAGAUUUGGAAAAACCCCAGUGGCGAAGGCGACUAUCUGGUCUGUAACUGACACUGAGGCGCGAAAGCGUGGGGAGCAAACAGGAUUAGAUACCCUGGUAGUCCACGCCGUAAACGAUGAGUGCUAAGUGUUAGGGGGUUUCCGCCCCUUAGUGCUGCAGCUAACGCAUUAAGCACUCCGCCUGGGGAGUACGGUCGCAAGACUGAAACUCAAAGGAAUUGACGGGGGCCCGCACAAGCGGUGGAGCAUGUGGUUUAAUUUGAAGCAACGCGAAGAACCUUACCAGGUCUUGACAUCCCGUUGACCACUGUAGAGAUAUGGUUUUCCCUUCGGGGACAACGGUGACAGGUGGUGCAUGGUUGUCGUCAGCUCGUGUCGUGAGAUGUUGGGUUAAGUCCCGCAACGAGCGCAACCCUUGAUCUUAGUUGCCAUCAUUUAGUUGGGCACUCUAAGGUGACUGCCGGUGACAAACCGGAGGAAGGUGGGGAUGACGUCAAAUCAUCAUGCCCCUUAUGACCUGGGCUACACACGUGCUACAAUGGACGAUACAAACGGUUGCCAACUCGCGAGAGGGAGCUAAUCCGAUAAAGUCGUUCUCAGUUCGGAUUGUAGGCUGCAACUCGCCUACAUGAAGCCGGAAUCGCUAGUAAUCGCGGAUCACCAUGCGGGGGUGAAUACGUUCCCGGCCCUUGUACACACCGCCCUUAACGGCACGAGAGUUUGUAACACCCGAAGUCGUAGGGUUAACCUUUGUAGCCAG